rnacentral:rRNA from 1 species
GACAGAGGGUGCGAACGUUGUUCGGAAUUACUGGGCGUAAAGCGCGUGUAGGCGGCUUGGCAAGUCGGGUGUGAAAGCCCUGGGCUCAACCUAGGAAGUGCACUCGAAACUGCCGAGCUGGAGUUCUGGAGAGGAAGGCGGAAUUCUCGGUGUAGAGGUGAAAUUCGUAGAUAUCGAGAGGAACACCGGUGGCGAAGGCGGCCUUCUGGACAGUGACUGACGCUGAGACGCGAAAGCGUGGGGAGCAAACAGG